AGCAGUCGCCAGGUAAUACAGAGGGUGCGAGCGUUAAUCGGAUUUACUGGGCGUAAAGCGUGCGUAGGCGGCUUUUUAAGUCGGAUGUGAAAUCCCUGAGCUUAACUUAGGAAUUGCAUUCGAUACUGGGAAGCUAGAGUAUGGGAGAGGAUGGUAGAAUUCCAGGUGUAGCGGUGAAAUGCGUAGAGAUCUGGAGGAAUACCGAUGGCGAAGGCAGCCAUCUGGCCUAAUACUGACGCUGAGGUACGAAAGCAUGGGGAGCAAACAGGAUUAGAUACCCCUGUAGUCCCUGUCUCUUAUACA
rnacentral:rRNA from 1 species